UACGGGGGGGGCAAGCGUUGUUCGGAAUUACUGGGCGUAAAGGGCGCGUAGGCGGUUCGCUAAGUUGAAUGUGAAAACUCUGGGCUUAACCCAGAGCCUGCAUUCAAUACUGGCGGGCUAGAGUUCUGGAGGGGAUAGCGGAAUUCCUGGUGUAGCGGUGAAAUGCGUAGAUAUCAGGAGGAACACCGGUGGCGAAGGCGGCUAUCUGGACAGAGUCUGACGCUGAGGCACGAAAGCGUGGGGAGCAAACAGG
rnacentral:rRNA from 1 species